CGCCUCACUCACACUUCAGUAAAUUCCCUAUCUUAACAGUAAGCAGUCCAGCAUAUGCCUUUGCAUGUGCCAUAUGCGAUCUUCUCGAUUGAUCCUCAAGAACACUCGAUCUCUUAUCUGUAACCCAUCAUCUUCAACUCCAUAAUUGCAUCCCAUCUCAAAAAACUUCAUUAAAAAAAUCCCACCCCCUUUGUUUUGAAUAUUUUAACUCUUCACCAAACAAUGGAGUCUUUAUUUCCUCCCAUGAUUUCUUUUCCCAUCUCCAUGAAUGUUUCUGUCCAUCAGUUUCAUUAAAUUCUUGGCCUUUCUGGGACUCCUAGGUUUCUCUCUCUUCCUCUGCUCUAUUCUCAUGGAAAUCCCCGAGGGAACGGGAACCGUACCGGCAACAACUGAGGUUCAACUUGCCCAAAAGCACGUUUAUUCGUUGUGGGCGGUUCCACCGGAUGACGUUGCGGAGAGGCUCAAGAAAUUAAUGGACGGUCUGAGAUCGGAGUUCGGUGGUCCCCAGUUCGAGCCCCAUGUAACUGUUGUGGGGGCCAUUAGUUUAACGGAGCAUGAUGCUUUGGAGAAGUUUCGAUCUGCUUGUGAUGGGCUUAAGGCUUAUACUGCCACGGUCGAUCGAGUGGCCACUGGGACUUUCUUUUAUCAGUGCGUUUAUUUGCUCAUCCAUCCAGCGUCCGAGGUCAUCUUCUUGAAAAAGAAUUCGUGUAGCUUUAAUGGGUUUCCAUUAGAUUCUUGCAGUUUUUGAAAAAAAUUGGUCUUUCGAUGAAAAAGUUUGAAUACCCAUAUGUUAAAUUGGAGUGGAUUUCGUGUUAUUUCAGGUCGUGGGAGCUAGUGCACACUGUACUGGGCAUUUUGGGUACAAGAGUUCUGCUUCCUACAUGCCUCAUCUUAGUCUCUUAUAUGGAGAUCUAACAGCUGAUGAUAAGAAAAAGGCUCAAGAAAAGGCCAAUAUUCUUGACGAGAGCAUCAAUGGCCUGAGCUUCCAGAUAAGCCGCCUUGCACUGUGGAAAACAGACACUGAGGACAAUUCCUUGAAGUCGUGGGAGAAGAUUACAGAAUGUACUCUCAGUCCCAACUAGUUCCCCUUCUAUUAUUCUAAUUUGCAAUGUUCAAUCCGUAUUUUAUGUUCCACGGUAUACCAGUAAUUGUUAGUGUUAUUAUUGCAAAAAAUACAACCAUAUGCACUUGCAGAGGUUUGUAAUUAAAUUCACAUAAAGGAAUUCUCUGUUUAGACUUUAGAAUGUGGUUUGCCAUAGGCAGCUUCUGGUGAAGUACAACCUUAUGUUUCUGUGGUUGCAGUGUUGUGACCCUAAGUACCAUCUAAACCUAGAUAUGUUACAAGCGUGGUGAUGUCCUUUGUGGUACAUGGGUUGGGGUUCUGUUCCAAGUUCUCUAGUCCCCUGCCAAUGCCAGUUUGAUGAUUUUAACAAGAUCAGUCUUGGAUGUUCCCUGCAAUGAGCCAAAGAGCGCCAGUGACUUCCCUUGCCGGACAUGGGGAGGGCUUCAGUUCUGGGUGCCCUGCCAGUGCCAAUAUGGUGGUUUUCACCGAAUCAGUCUUGGAUGGAGUUAGGGAGCCCUUCCGGACUUGUUUAGAGCCGGACUGUGCAGUUAGAGAUGGAUUGUUGUGAAAUGUAAUUAUACUUAUAUUAUGAUCCCAUCAUUGACAACAGACAUGGACAAAUCAACAUUGAAGAAAAUGGAUGCCAACAUUGACCAAAUAAAAAAUGAACGAAGGCUUCAUUAACCUUGCUAGAAUUGACACAUUCUUGAUGUGCUCAUCCAAUUUGGUUUCCUUAGCCGUUCCUCUCUGACAUGCAAGUGGAUAAGGACAUUGAGGAAAAGGUGGCUGUAAACUCUCAAAUCUAGCUGGCAUUAUUAUACCGAAAAACGUGAGUUAAAAUUUUCCAUCCAUCAUGAUUGAAAUAGCCUGCGUUUACUAGUCUUUACCUCAAUAAAUAAUGACUAAGCUGGGGGCCUGCUGCUAAUCUCAUGCGAAGUCAAUUUCUCAUAACAAACCAUAUUUAUUUCUCGAUACACCAUAAUUUCUAUUUUCUCCUCGGUGCAUAAAUUGCCACACAGAUUAAAAAUCGGCGUCGUUUUCCUUCUCCACCUUACCUUCUACUUGCUGACAUGGACCCCACUUAACAGAUCACCCAUCCUGGAAGAUCUGCAUCGUUAAAAAAGCUUACUACAGCUUUUCCAUCUCUCUUACAACCGAAGGAAGAGGAAAAAAAAAUCCUCGCGUGCCGCUGUUUAAUGCUGCUGCGCACGUUAGUCAACCUCCAAUGAGUCCUGGGUCCUGGCCUUCCGCACGCGCUUGUAUGGAACUUGUGAUUUCUACAUUCUGAAACCAAAAAUUUUCAACGUCUGCCAUGCCAUGACCUGUUAGCCAAUAUGAAAAUUGAAACUUCAGAAACACACUCCCCUUCCCGUGGAAUUUUCGUUUCAAUUCCUUUAUCUCUCUCUCUCUCUCUUCUUGUAUCAAUCUCUGUUUAGAUAUUAAAUUUGAGGGUUUCUUGAUUCUGAAUUUAGUGUUUUCAGUUCUAAAGUUUUCAGCUUUGAACUUUCAAAUGCAAAAACAAGUCUUUCCUAAAUAACCGUACGAGUUUCUAGCCCAACCAAAAAAAAUCUCCUUCAAGUAUCAAUUUGGGGUUUUAGGCGUUAAUUACAUUUCGUUUGAAUCAUUUACAAGGUUUAAGCUUCUCAUUUAGCUGCAUAUUCUCGAUUCUCUUGAGACGUUUGCAAAUCAAGAAUCCAAAGACCAAAAAGUUCCUUUUUUUUUUUUUAAGAAAGAAAAAGGACGAGUUCAUGGUUCUGGUUUUUUUAGAUUGCGAUCGUAUAUUCUGAUCGAAGAUUUUUAUCAUUUUGGCUGAAAAAACAAGAAAUUGGAAGUAAAAAAUUUUCUUUUUUUUAAUCUUUUGGUGGAUUUUUGAAAUGGAAGGGAAGAGCUCAGUGAGGUUCACUCUUGGGAAGCAAUCAUCUUUAGCGCCAGACAGCCACCAGAAGGAUUCAGGCACAGAACAGGAAGAAUUGGAAGAGAUCGAACCUGGUGUGCGGCUAAUGUAUUCGGCCAAUGAGGGCAAUUUGGAUGGGAUUCGUGAACUCUUGGAUUCGGGCAUUGAUGUUAAUUUCCGUGACAUCGAUAACCGGACUGCGCUUCAUGUUGCUGCUUGCCAAGGCAAUGCGGACGUGGUUGCUCUGUUGCUCGAUAACGGGGCCCAGGUUGACACCAAAGACCGAUGGGGGAGCACGCCUCUCGCUGAUGCUAUAUACUAUAAAAACCAUGAAGUGAUCAAACUUUUGGAGAAACAUGGUGCAAAGCGUCCGAUGGCUCCCAUGCACGUCAAUCAUGCCCGUGAAGUCCCAGAAUAUGAAAUUAAUCCUGCUGAGCUUGAUUUUACUAACAGUGUAGAAAUAACUAAGGGAACCUUUCGUAUAGCAUCAUGGCGUGGAAUUCAAGUGGCUGUUAAAAGGCUGGGGGAGGAUGUGAUUUCUGAUGAG
rnacentral:misc_RNA from 1 species